UCAGUGUUUUUCUAUGGGGCUCUCUGUUGACAGGACAAUGCUCCACAGCAAAAAGGUUCAAAAACUACGCGUUCUCCCCAUCACAAAACCCUAGCUACCUCACUUUCUUCCUCUCGUUCUCAACCCACGCACACUCUCUCUCUCUCUCUCUCUCUCCGCCUUUCUGAAUCCGUACUCGCUCUCUGCCGUUUAGAUCGUUGUUCCAGUCAUGGACGACAGGGAGAGACCCGAUCCAGGAUCCAAGUACACCGCCGAUUCCAGCUGGGGACUCGGGCUAACGGAUUCCGACUCAGUCGACUACUUCAUCGACUGCAGAGAGAGCACCAUACUCGGCGAAUUCGGUUGGAAUCUGCACUUCGAUGAGGAGAGCCGGUUCGCUGACCUUGACCGGAUUGCAGUCGGCAGCAGAUCCGAUUCGGCGGCAAAUCUCCAUAGCAGCUUGUCGGAGAGUACUUGUGGCGAUGGACCCUUGCUGCGGAGUUCUAGUAAUGUCCCCUCUGAUCCGAGCGGGUCUUGUUCUACCCCAGUUGCUGCCCUUGCUGACGUGUCUACCUCAAAUCCUUCGGUAUCUUCCAGCUCCAGCGAGGAUCCGCCCGAGAAAUCGACGGGCUCCGGCGGGAAACCGCCCGAGAUACCGAAUAAAGUCAGGAAGAAGGGACAAAAGCGAGUCCGGCAACCUCGUUUUGCAUUUAUGACUAAGAGUGAGGUGGAUCACUUAGAGGAUGGCUACCGAUGGCGGAAAUACGGACAAAAGGCUGUUAAAAAUAGUCCAUUCCCUAGGAGCUACUAUCGCUGCACAAAUAGCAAAUGCAGUGUGAAGAAAAGGGUGGAACGCUCCUCUGAAGAUCCAACAAUCGUAAUAACUACAUACGAAGGCCAACACUGUCAUCAUACCGCCGGAUUCCCUCGCAGUGGUAUCAUUACCCAUGAGGCUAGCUAUGCCGGAAGGCUAAUGCCCGCAAUUUCCCAAUUUUGUUAUCCCGGAAUUCAAUUGUCUCGGGACGCUCCACCUACUCAAAACUUGUCACGGUUGCACAGAUUAGCUGGUGAAGCAGGAGAACCCCAUAUGCACUCGGAAACUUUCCCGCAGUUUCCAAUUGAUGAGGGGUUGCUAGGAGAUAUUGUGCCACCUGGGAUGCGAAACAUUUGACAAACAAAUUAUGAGGAAAAACACAUGCACUUGGAUUGCUCGGCCAUCAAAUACUAGACUGACUUGGAUCGAGCACACUUGCCUAGCUUCAAGCGUGCUGUACAGAUAUAUAACCUCUAGGGCGCAUGCAGUAUUGAUAGUUACCUAGUAAUCUACUAGUUUGGUUCUGUUGCUGCUGGGUAGAGAUGAUGAGGUAAUUAUUUAACCUUUCUUGACUGAUAUAAUAAUUUUAGCCUACGAGUGUGUUUGGACCCACUGCGAUUGUUCCAAAUUCUUACCAGGCCUUCCACGGUUACAAAACCACCAUGAAAUACGUUUGAAAUGUGUCUCGAGUGAACGGAUAUAUGUACAAUCAUGUGCAUAAGACCAUGGAUUUCAACCCAUUUACGGAUAUGGUAGGCCAAUGUCUUCUUUUGUGAUUUAUACUGCGUACUUGUUUCCAUGGUGGCGUCAUUACCAAUGCACAUAUAGUUCUCAUUGGCUGUGAACUUAUCCGCUCUAGUGAUAUAGCUUGGGUACUAACUUAUCUUUAGCUUUCCCCAUUUAAAUGAGACCUAGCGAUCAACUUCUCCUCAAAAAGCUUUUCUACACAGUGAUUUGAUAGGCAGUGAAAGAGACUUGGAAGAACCGCCAGAAUGAUCUCUCUCAUCACCGUUUUAAGAGGUUGAUCCCCUUCAUAACAAAAUUAUGUGUCGUACCAACCUCUAUUAUUUUCCUAAUUUCAAUUAAUUUAGGUAGUUAUAUAUAAUUAAUUAUUUUAAAAGUCCCAUCCUGAGUUUAAAAAAUGGAACAGAUUAGGUUCGUCUAGGCUGUGUGCAUAUCUAUGAGAAUCAUUGGUUUCACAUAUUGGUGCCUUACCCUUCAUUUAUUUUGAGUGGACAAUUUGCCUUUCCAAAGCUUCAGUCUUUAUCAAAUGGAUUCCUGGAUUUCUAUGGUUCGUGUUGCUUAAUAUGACUUCUACAAUCAUAUGGAAAAUUUUAAAAUAAAUAAUUAGUACCGUAGCAGAAGAAUUCGGUGGUUUAUAAUUUAAUAAUUAGUAUUAAAUUCAAUCACUUGAAUAUUUAUUAAAUCUAAAAAUGGAAAGAACACUGAGAAUUAGAAAUUCCGAACUAAUGGAGUCCAUUCAUGUGUUCACUUUUGAACCGUAAGAAAGAAACAAUUAGGGAUUUCAGGGAACCCAAGUGACUACUUUUUGAUAGAGCUUUCACAUUACACUAGGAAACACUACUUUGAUAUUGGUGAAGUAACUAUUCAUAUUGCCCUCAGGUGCACUCAGAAGAUUUGGUAAUUCCAAGAAAAGGGAGGAAAAUCAUUGAGUCCAUAUAUACUUUAGACAAUAGAGCAAUAGCUGUGCCGAUCCAUAUAUGUGAAGAGGCGCUAAUGAACUUUACCACUCCACUAUUUGUCGGUUCUAGGAUUCUGGGUUUUAUUCUUUGUUAGAACAAAUACAGCCAAUAUUUUGUCUAAAAAAAAAGAGAAGAAAACAAAACAAAAAUCGAAAAACAAACCAGCAAGUGCAUGAAUUGUGUGCCACCCCACGAGAAAGAAUCUCUAAAAAGUAAGUCUUAUAUAUAGAACAUAACGCAGCCCGCCCUGGAAUCAAAUCACAUAUAUCUCUGAUGUGCAAUCCAACUGUCUAUAUGCCUUUGGCUUUUGGUUUAGGUGAUGCAGUCGAUUAUCAGAUUGAAGCGAAAGCACUUGUUACUUAAUUUAAAGGGCCGUACAUCUGAUGAUCAGAAGGCAGAGAGCGAUUUUCAAGCCGGAAAUGCCAUCUCCUUGAUAUUUACUGCAACUCAUGAUCAUAUUCAUAUAUAUGUAUACCAGGUACUGCUCACAUGAGCAUACUCCCCCAUGAAUUGCUAUAUACACUCUCCAGCUACAUUAUAUACACAUAUGUAAUAUUCAUUACUUACCCGAAUACUGGACAUAUAGCUUUCUUUCUAAGCAUAGUAUUAUUUAAGUGUUAUAGUAAAUAUUUUAGGCUUAAUUUAGCGUAUUGAAAAUUAGGUUCAUGUAUGAUGCAUGUAAAUAACCAUUAUUUUUUAAUC